rnacentral:misc_RNA from 1 species
CGCUCUCCAUCCAAUCCAACCACGCGAACAACCAAGAUGACGCGCUCUCCUCUGGCUCUGGCCCUACUGCUCCUCUGCGCCGCCGGCGCCGCGGCGGCCGUGCCGCGGUACCGCGAGGCGCCGCACUUCACCAACUCGGCGGCGGCGCAGUGCCCGCCGCUGCUGCAGCCGUCGGACGCGGACGCGGCGUGCUCGCCGCACGCGGCGGUGCACGUCGCCAUGACGCUGGACGCGUCGUACCUGCGCGGCACCAUGGCGGCCGUGCUCUCCGUGCUGCGCCACGCGUCGUGCCCGGAGUCCAUCCACUUCCACUUCAUCGCCUCCGCCUCCUCCGGGUCCAGUGCGACGGCGGAGGCGCUCAGGGCCACGGUGCGCGCGUCGUUCCCGUCGCUGGCGUUCCGGGUGUACCCGUUCGCCGACGAGGCCCGCGUGGCGGGGCUCAUCUCCACCUCCAUCCGGGGCGCGCUGGACCGCCCGCUCAACUACGCGCGCUCCUACCUCGCGUCCACGCUGCCCGCCUGCGUGCGCCGCGUCGUGUACCUCGACUCCGACGUCGUGCUCACCGACGACAUCGCCGCCCUCGCCGCCACCCCGCUCCCGGGGGAGGGCACGGCCGUGGCGGCGCCCCAGUACUGCGGCGCCAACUUCACCGCCUACUUCACGCCGGGCUUCUGGGCGUCCCCCGCGCUCUCCUCCGCCUUCGCCGGCCGCCGCGCCUGCUACUUCAACACGGGCGUCAUGGUGCUCGACCUCGCGCGCUGGCGCCGCGCGGGAUACACGGCGCAGAUCGAGGAGUGGAUGGAGCUGCAGAAGCGGGUGCGCAUCUACGAGCUGGGCUCGCUGCCGCCCUUCCUGCUCGUCUUCGCCGGCAGGAUCGCGUCCGUGGACCACAGAUGGAACCAGCACGGCCUCGGCGGGGACAACUACCGCGGCCUCUGCCGCGGCCUGCACGCCGGCGCCGUCAGCCUGCUGCACUGGAGCGGCAAGGGGAAGCCCUGGGACCGCCUCGACGCCGGAAGGCCGUGCCCGCUCGACGCCGUCUGGGCCAAGUACGACCUGCUCCGGCCGGCAGCCGGCAUCGAGACCUCGUGAACACAACGACGGCGUUCGAUCGACCGCUCGUUUCACUUUUUGUUCGGUUUAGAAGCACGUGCUCUUCGUUGUUUUGUUGAUCUAGGCUAGAUAUUGGUAGAUCGAUCAUCAGGGUGUUCAUGUGAACUGUACAUAUUGUUGCUAACUUUCUCGG